AGUUCUGAUGAACGCUAACCAGUAGACGAUACCCACACUGAUUGGCAGAGCUUAGACGCCAAGUCUAACCUGCUCUGAGCUGAUGUGCACUGUUGGCUCCUGUUGUGCUGCACAGGCCUCCGGUAUUACAAAUGGAACUCAAGAGCAUACACCACUCAUCUCUGCUAGUGGAUCACCUCGAACGUUGUCUGCGCUGGGCUGAGGAUGCUCAUUACUGAAGUUCAAGGUUCUUACUGAUGUCACUGGAAAAUUUGUCUCUGCUCUGAGAAAUCACAGGGAUUAGUCUUUGUGACUCGUGAGGUGACUACACUAACACCUGGUGUUGAUAAGAUGGCAUGAAAACAGCCAGCUCUGGAAGUCGUGCUGGAGCGAUGGCUCAGAACUGAAUAGUGCUUGCUGCUCUUCCCAAGGACCCGACCUGGGUUACCAGCACCCAUGUUCUCCAGAUCACAGUCUUUGCUAACUCCAGCUCCAGGGCUUCUAACCCCCUCUUCUGGCCUCCAUGGUACCUUUACUCAUGUGCCUGACAUCCUCCCACACAUACUUAAUGAAAAAUUAGAAUUAAAUCUUUAAUAAUAAUAAUAAUAAAGAAUCCCGUAAGAGUUU
rnacentral:lncRNA from 1 species